rnacentral:rRNA from 1 species
CCUACGGGAGGCAGCAGUGGGGAAUAUUGGACAAUGGGCGAAAGCCUGAUCCAGCCAUGCCGCGUGUGUGAAGAAGGCCUUCGGGUUGUAAAGCACUUUCAGUGGGGAAGAAAGCCUUGGGGCUAAUACCCUCGAGGAAGGACAUCACCCACAGAAGAAGCACCGGCUAACUCCGUGCCAGCAGCCGCGGUAAUACGGAGGGUGCGAGCGUUAAUCGGAAUUACUGGGCGUAAAGCGCGCGUAGGCGGUCUGAUAAGCCGGUUGUGAAAGCCCCGGGCUCAACCUGGGAACGGCAUCCGGAACUGUCAGGCUAGAGUGCAGGAGAGGAAGGUAGAAUUCCCGGUGUAGCGGUGAAAUGCGUAGAGAUCGGGAGGAAUACCAGUGGCGAAGGCGGCCUUCUGGACUGACACCGACGCUGAGGUGCGAAAGCGUGGGUAGCAAACAGGAUUAGAUACCCCAGUAGUC